rnacentral:rRNA from 1 species
AUUGAACGCUGGCGGCAGGCCUAACACAUGCAAGUCGAGCGGAUGAGAGGAGCUUGCUCCUCGAUUCAGCGGCGGACGGGUGAGUAAUGCCUAGGAAUCUGCCUAGUAGUGGGGGACAACGUUUCGAAAGGAACGCUAAUACCGCAUACGUCCUACGGGAGAAAGUGGGGGAUCUUCGGACCUCACGCUAUUAGAUGAGCCUAGGUCGGAUUAGCUAGCUGGUAGGGUAAAGGCCUACCAAGGCGACGAUCCGUAACUGGUCUGAGAGGAUGAUCAGUCACACUGGCACUGAGACACGGUCCAGACUCCUACGGGAGGCAGCAGUGGGGAAUAUUGGACAAUGGGCGCAAGCCUGAUCCAGCCAUGCCGCGUGUGUGAAGAAGGCCCUCGGGUCGUAAAGCACUUUAAGUUGGGAGGAAGGGCUUACAGCGAAUACCUGUGAGUUUUGACGUUACCGACAGAAUAAGCACCGGCUAACUUCGUGCCAGCCGCCGCGGUAA